AUAGAAGCACAGCUAUAAUUAUUGGAAUUUGGUGGUAUAUUAAUGCCCACGCGGCUACAGUCCCGCUCUUUUCGUGACCAAAAAAAUGAUCCUGCUAAAUCAUUGUGCAAGUCCUCUUAAUAGAGUUAAAGGUUAAGCGCAACUACUUAUUAGCGUUGUCUGAUCGGUGACGUGAUCUGAUCACAUACUGGAGGGAAAACGAAACUGCCCCAAAAAUUUUAAGUGGCAACUGUGUUCUUCGCGGUGGUUGCCUCGCCUUGGAGCCCCAACCACGAGAUUCGCAUAACCCCCUCGGAGGGAAUUCUCCCAAGAUAAUAGUAUCAAGUUUUCAUCUGGCCACGGGCCUCUGCAAAUACUGGCCGGUCGGAGGGAUUCCUGACCACCAACUAGCGUUAUUAUUCUGCGUAGGACAACCCCUGGCUACGGAGAAUUGAAGCAAUUGUCUUUCUGGGAGCUACGCCAACAUCCCGAAGCCUUACCCUUCGAUAAAGCACUGAUUGGACACUCCGACCUAUAUAUAUAUGUAUAGAUCGGUGCGCAGUAGAACAACUGCAACUAACUCAGCACCGCAGGAUGAGCUAAUUCGCACCAGUUACAUUUCCCAGUCAGGAUCAUUUAUGGAAACCAAAACCUGGACCGUCAGCGGAUAAGGGAUUAGGAAAAGUAGUGCAAGGGAUGGUUGCUAUACCAUAUGGAAGUCGACUUGCGAGAGUGUGUUUUUUCGUAACCGCCGUCAUGAAGCCCCUCAAUUUUUAUAAUUCAAUUAAUCUCCGCUAGCAUUGACAACCCGUACCAUCAUUUCACCGCUGGAAGGCCUUUCAACGCUGGAACUGGACACAUUUUUCUGCUUUUAUCCCUCUUAGUAUGGCAUUACAACCAUUACACAAGUAACUGAUACUCUUUUCUGUUUGGCCUGUCGAGCUAAUUUGCCUUUUUGCGGAUGGUCAGCAAGACGUAGAUCAGCCAUCGGCACGGUGAGACAGAACGACAAAACAAACAGAUACAAUAUACAUAUAAAUGAAUAUCUUGUUUAUCAUCUGCAUGCUUUAACAAAAUUUUCUAGCACUUAAAGAUUACGAGAUCUCGACGUUCAUACGGACAUGACCAGA